CAGUAGCCGCGGUAAUACGUAGGUCCCGAGCGUUGUCCGGAUUUAUUGGGCAUAAAGCGAGCGCAGGCGGUUAGAUAAGUCUGAAGUUAAAGGCUGUGGCUUAACCAUAGUACGCUUUGGAAACUGUUUAACUUGAGUGCAAGAGGGGAGAGUGGAAUUCCAUGUGUAGCGGUGAAAUGCGUAGAUAUAUGGAGGAACACCGGUGGCGAAAGCGGCUCUCUGGCUUGUAACUGACGCUGAGGCUCGAAAGCGUGGGGAGCAAACAGGAUUAGAUACCCCUGUAGUCCCUGUCUCUUAUACC
rnacentral:rRNA from 1 species